rnacentral:misc_RNA from 1 species
UCCGCGUUGAUCGCGGCAGUCCUGCUAGAUCAUUCAACUAGCAGCAGGGGUUGCGCUCGUUGCGGGACUGAACCCAACAUCUCACGACACGAGCUGACGACAGCCAUGCAGCACCUGUGCAACCGCCCUUGCGGGACACCCCAUAACGGGUGGUGCAAUUGCAUGUCAAGCCCUGGUAAGGUUCUUCGCGUUGCAUCGAAUUAAACCACACGCUCCGCUGCUUGUGCGGGUCCCCGUCAAUUCCUUUGAGUUUUAAUCUUGCGACCGUACUCCCCAGGCGGACCACUUAAUGCGUAAGCUGCGGCACAGAAGGGGUCGAUACCUCCCACGCCUAGUGGUCAUCGUUUACGGCUAGGACUAC